CCAUGGAAAGAUGAGCUUUGGAUUCCCAGGGAAGGAAGGAGGGAGGCAGCAGGUCUGGAGAGUGAUGACCUUUGGAAGAAGGGGCAGCAAGUCAGGAGGCCAACAAGGAUGUUGGGAGGUCAUGGAGGGAGAAGAUGAGAAGGGCCAAAGCCCAACUAGAACUUAAUGUGGCUAAGGAGGUAAAAGGAAAGCAAAAUGAUUUUUAGAAAUAAUACUGUGGCUGUUUUUUUUUAAUUUGUUGCUGGGGGAACGUAGAGCCAAAGAGUGAGGACAAGCCUGAGGUGCCAGGGGAUGAGGCCCAGCCACGGGGGGUUGUGAGGGUCGGGGCCUGCCUGACCAACCCAGGAUGUUGUUUGUGGCUUGGACAGGCCGUGGUGGCUCAGGAUUGAAACCUUUUGCUCUUCUGGGCCCGGCACUGCCACCAGCACUGGGACAUCAGAGGAGGCGGCUCCGGGAGGGAGGGACGUGGCGGUGGCACUGGCAGGGAGGGACGUGGCGGUGGCACUGGCAGGGAGGGACGUGGUGGGGGCACUGGCAGGCAGGGACGUGGCAGCUCCACCAGGGUCCCAGGAAUCCCCUCAGGCGGGCACGGAGCUUGCCCAGGAAGGCCCGUGGUGCCCAGCCCCGGGCCCUGCCCGGGGGCACCCGCUGCCGGGGUGGGGCCUUGGCUGGGCAGGGUUUGCGCCCACACGGGUUCAGGCGUGGGGAUGCUGCGGGCCAGCUCCAGGAGGCUGCUGCUGCUGCUGCUGCUGCUGCUGUCGGCCUCCAGGGAGUUGGUGAUCACCACUUCCCUGGGGAGGAACCAGGCCAUGGCCGCGGAGCUGCUGCUCUCCAGCUCUGGGGGGCUGCUGCUGUGUCGUCCCGUGGCCUCAUUGUCCUCCUCCCUUCCACUGGCCGUGUCAUUGUCCUCCUCCCUUCCACUGGCCACGUCUGGCCUCUGCACUCGGAGGUGCUGGGGAGAAUUCCCACCCCCCAGCAGUCCCGGCAGCUCCUCCGGCCUCUCAGUCUGGAGCCCCAGGAAGGGCUCCUGUUCCCAUUGCCACUGGGCCAGCUGUGCCUCCAGCUCCCUGUGCUGCUCCUCAAACAGCACCUGGGCGUCCUGGGAGCUCUGGAUGAACCUUGGGAAAUGCCUCCUGGAGCUCAUGGAACUCUGUCGGGAGCUGCCAGGGGACGUGUCUGCCGAUUCCUGCGCCCUGUCCACGCUGCUCUGCUCCUCCGGCUGGGCUCUCACUGCCCUUGGACACCUCCAGUUCUGCAGGAUCCUCUGCAGGAACCACGGAUAGCUGAGACAGGAGCAGCUCCUGGGCCCACCCCACAGCCCCCCACGAUGCUCCACAUGCCACCCCAGCCCACCCCAAACCAACCCAGCCCACAGAGCCGUGCAGAGGCACCUACCCAGAGACGCUUGUCCCGCAGCACGACAGCGACCAGGAGGAGCUGCAGCACCAGGAUCAUGACUGCAACCAGCUCCCCCAUGGUGAACAUGUCCAGGGACCUCAUGGCACCAUCCCUGCCACUCCAGGUCACCAGCACAGGCUGGGGACGAGCUUCCCCAGUGACCUGCGGGGUCCCAGUGAUGGGAUCCCAACACUGCUGGGGUGGCAGAGGCUGAGGUGGUGCCCACCUGCAGUGCCCCGUGUCCUGGGGCCUGUUAUAGCCCUUUGUGACAUCAUGGGGCAGGCAGAGCCCCCUUUGUGACAUCACAGGACAGGCAUGGCCCCUUUUAUGACAUCAUGGGGCAGGAAGAGCCCCCUUUGUGACAUCACAGGUCAGGUGGGGCCCCCUUUGUGACACUGGGAGUUCCCAGGAGCCCCAGGGAGAGCCCUCGCUGCCUCAGGCAGUGACCCUGCAUUCCAGGUUGUCCUGCUCAAACCGUUGGGAUUCCUAAGGUCAGUUGGGUUGUAACAAUUCCAUUUGACAUCACGAAUCUGUUUUCAGCUGCUGUUGGAUCUGUAACUGCUGGGGUUUAACUGGUUCAUCAAAUAAAUCUCUUUUGAAUAGGUGGUUUAUCUCA
rnacentral:lncRNA from 1 species